GAUGAACGCUGGCGGCGUGCCUAAUACAUGCAAGUCGAGCGAACAGACGAGGAGCUUGCUCCUCUGACGUUAGCGGCGGACGGGUGAGUAACACGUGGAUAACCUACCUAUAAGACUGGGAUAACCUCGGGAAACCGGAGCUAAUACCGGAUAAUAUAUUGAACCGCAUGGUUCAAUAGUGAAAGACGGUUUUGCUGUCACUUAUAGAUGGAUCCGCGCCGCAUUAGCUAGUUGGUAAGGUAACGGCUUACCAAGGCAACGAUGCGUAGCCGACCUGAGAGGGUGAUCAGCCACACUGGAACUGAGACACGGUCCAGACUCCUACGGGAGGCAGCAGUAGGGAAUCUUCCGCAAUGGGCGAAAGCCUGACGGAGCAACGCCGCGUGAGUGAUGAAGGUCUUCGGAUCGUAAAACUCUGUUAUUAGGGAAGAACAAAUGUGUAAGUAACUAUGCACGUCUUGACGGUACCUAAUCAGAAAGCCACGGCUAACUACGUG
rnacentral:rRNA from 1 species